rnacentral:rRNA from 1 species
AUUGAACGCUGGCGGAAUGCUUUACACAUGCAAGUCGAGCGGCGGCGCGGGGCAACCUGGCGGCGAGCGGCGAACGGGUGAGUAAUGUAUCGGAACGUGUCCUGUCGUGGGGGAUAGCCCGGUGAAAACCGGAUUAAUACCGCAUACGAUCGAGAGAUGAAAGUGGGGGACCGCAAGGCACCACGCGAUAGGAGCGGCCGAUAUCUGAUUAGCUAGUUGGUGGGGUAAAGGCCCACCAAGGCUUCGAUCAGUAGCUGGUCUGAGAGGAUGAUCAGCCACACUGGGACUGAGACACGGCCCAGACUCCUACGGGAGGCAGCAGUGGGGAAUUUUGGACAAUGGGGGCAACCCUGAUCCAGCCAUUCCGCGUGAGAGAAGAAGGCCUUCGGGUUGUAAAGCUCUUUUGUCCGGGAAGAAACGGUUUUGGCUAAUAACCAAGACUACUGACGGUACCGGAAGAAUAAGGACCGGCUAACUACGUGCCAGCCGCCGCCGUAA